GAUGAACGCCGGCGGCGUGCCUAAUACAUGCAAGUCGAGCGAACAGAUAAGGAGCUUGCUCCUUUGACGUUAGCGGCGGACGGGUGAGUAACACGUGGGUAACCUACCUAUAAGACUGGGAUAACUUCGGGAAACCGGAGCUAAUACCGGAUAACAUUUGGAACCGCAUGGUUCUAAAGUGAAAGAUGGUUUUGCUAUCACUUAUAGAUGGACCCGCGCCGUAUUAGCUAGUUGGUAAGGUAACGGCUUACCAAGGCAACGAUACGUAGCCGACCUGAGAGGGUGAUCGGCCACACUGGAACUGAGACACGGUCCAGACUCCUACGGGAGGCAGCAGUAGGGAAUCUUCCGCAAUGGGCGAAAGCCUGACGGAGCAACGCCGCGUGAGUGAUGAAGGGUUUCGGCUCGUAAAACUCUGUUAUUAGGGAAGAACAAAUGUGUAAGUAACUGUGCACGUCUUGACGGUACCUAAUCAGAAAGCCACGGCUAACUACGUG
rnacentral:rRNA from 1 species